AUUGAACGCUGGCGGCAGGCUUAACACAUGCAAGUCGAGCGGAGUGAUGGUGCUUGCACUAUCACUUAGCGGCGGACGGGUGAGUAAUGCUUAGGAAUCUGCCUAUUAGUGGGGGACAACAUCUCGAAAGGGAUGCUAAUACCGCAUACGUCCUACGGGAGAAAGCAGGGGAUCACUUGUGACCUUGCGCUAAUAGAUGAGCCUAAGUCGGAUUAGCUAGUUGGUGGGGUAAAGGCCUACCAAGGCGACGAUCUGUAGCGGGUGUGAGAGGUUGAUCCGCUAAACGGGGAAUGAGACACGGCCCAGACUCCGACGGGAGGCAGCAGUGGGGAAUAUUGGACAAUGGGGGGAACCCUGAUCCAGCCAUGCCGCGUGUGUGAAGAAGGCCUUAUGGUUGUAAAGCACUUUAAGCGAGGAGGAGGCUCUUUUGGUUAAUACCCAAGAUGAGUGGACGUUACUCGCAGAAUAAGCACCGGCUAACUCUGUGCCAGCCGCCGCCGUAA
rnacentral:rRNA from 1 species